rnacentral:rRNA from 1 species
GAACGCUAGCGGCAGGCUUAAUACAUGCAAGUCGAGGGGCAGCGCGGGUAGCAAUACCUGGCGGCGACCGGCAAACGGGUGCGGAACACGUACGCAACCUUCCCAAAACUGGUGAAUAGCCCUCCGAAAGGAGGAUUAAUACACCGUAACAUAACGAAGAGGCAUCUCUUUGUUAUUAUAGCUCCGGCGGUUUUGGAUGGGCGUGCGGCUGAUUAGGUAGUUGGCGGGGUAACGGCCCACCAAGCCUGCGAUCAGUAACUGGUGUGAGAGCACGACCAGUCACACGGGCACUGAGACACGGGCCCGACUCCUACGGGAGGCAGCAGUAAGGAAUAUUGGUCAAUGGACGCAAGUCUGAACCAGCCAUGCCGCGUGAAGGAUGAAGGUCCUCUGGAUUGUAAACUUCUUUUAUCUGGGACGAAAAAAGGGCAUUCUUGCUCACUUGACGGUACCAGAGGAAUAAGCACCGGCUAACUCCGUGCCAGCAGCCGCGGUAAUACGGAGGGUGCGAGCGUUAUCCGGAUUUACUGGGUUUAAAGGGUGCGUAGGUGGGCAGGUAAGUCAGCGGUGAAAUCUUCGAGCUUAACUCGGAAACUGCCAUUGAUACUAUCUGUCUUGAAUAUCCUGGAGGUGAGCGGAAUAUGUCAUGUAGCGGUGAAAUGCUUAGAUAUGACAUAGAAC